GCGUUCGUGGUGUAACGGUAGCACAUUCGGCGCAAAUUUGAGUGGUCCAGGUUCGAGUCCUGGGGAGGGCA
rnacentral:tRNA from 1 species